AACGAACGCUGGCGGCAUGCCUAACACAUGCAAGUCGAACGGGAUCCUAGCUUGCUAGGUGAGAGUGGCGGACGGGUGAGUAACACGUGGGAAUCUGCCUUUUGGUUCGGGAUAACCGCGGGAAACUGCGGCUAAUACCGAAUGCCCUCGAGAGAGGAAAGAUUUAUCGCCAGAAGAGGAGCCCGCGUCCGAUUAGGUAGUUGGUGGGGUAAAGGCCUACCAAGCCGACGAUCGGUAGCUGGUCUGAGAGGAUGAUCAGCCACACUGGGACUGAGAUACGGCCCAGACUCCUACGGGAGGGCAG
rnacentral:rRNA from 1 species